UACGUAGGCAGCAAGCGUUGUUCGGAAUUACUGGGCGUAAAGAGUGUGUAGGCGGUGCUCUAAGUUCGGUGUGAAAUCUCCCGGCUCAACUGGGAGGGUGCGCCGAAAAACUGGGGGUGCUGGAGCGCGGGAGAGGAAAGCGGAAUUCCUGGUGUAGCGGUGAAAUGCGUAGAUAUCAGGAGGAACACCGGCGGUGUAGACGGCUUUCUGGACCGUAGCUGACGCUGAGACACGAAAGCGUGGGUAGCAAACAGG
rnacentral:rRNA from 1 species